UACGGAGGGUGCAAGCAUUGAUCGGAAUUACUGGGCGUAAAGGGCGCGUAGGCGGUAGGAUAAGUCGGAUGUGAAAUUCCGGGGCUCAACCCCGGAGCUGCAUUUGAAACUAUCUUUCUAGAGUUCAGUUAGGGUAAACGGAAUUCCACGUGUAGCGGUGAAAUGCGUAGAUAUGUGGAAGAACACCGGUGGUGAAGACGGUUUACUGGGCUGAUACUGACGCUGAGGCGCGAAAGCAUGGGGAGCAAACAGG
rnacentral:rRNA from 1 species